AGUCUCUGAUGGUAGGAGAGGAGCCCCCCAAAGCUUAGCAGUGGCCUGGGCAGACAAGGCUGUUGUCCACCAACAUGCUCAUGCUGCCUGGAGUUUGUACCUCCCAAAGCAGUGGGAUUAUAUGCAUAUGCCAUUGGGCCCAGCAAAAGAAAGGUUACCCAAGAGGAGAGCAGAGCUGCCCUUUGCAUUCAAAAUCAGAGGCUGAUCCUUACAGAAACUUAGCAUUUGCCACUCUGUAUUGAAAUCACCUAUUAUCACAUGCCGUGCCUCCAUCAGGCUGUGUGUCAGACUGUGACCUAAGAAGAUAAUCUCUGUGAAGACAAGGUGGCAACAGCCUUGGUCACAGCUAUUCAUAGUGCCUAGCAUGCAAUAGAGACCCUCAGUAAGUAUCUAUGGACUGCAUGGAUGGAUGGAUGGAUGGAUGGUGGCACUCCUGUGGAAUUUUCAGCAGGAUAUACAAAGGAAACAGUGUUGGCAUUGAGUAGUGGGAAGGACCUCAGCAAGGGGUUAAGGACCUGGGCUCCUGUGCUGGCUCUACCUCCUACUUGCUGUGUUGCCUCAUGCAAGUUACUCACCCUCUCGAACAUUCCAUUUCUCUACCUGCAACUGAAUAGUGGGACUGGGUAGUUCCCUAAAACCCUCCCCAGCGGAUGCUCCAGAAUGCUUAGCUGGCCUUGGCCCAGCACCCCUAUUUCACACCUCUGUAAUUACCCACCUGCAUGCCUUUUAUUAUAGAG